AGGAUGCAAAGACUGAUGGGAGAAUGGAGGAGGAAGCAACAUGGCAGGGCAGAGUGAACAUGAUGGGGCUGGGAAUGAAGUAAGCAUACUGCCUUUGAGUAGAUAAUCAUUGUGCAGAGAGAAGACGGGAGACAGCUGACCCUACCUUCUGGUUUCUGACAGAAUGAGGUCCACGACAAAACUGGAGGCUAUUGGAGGGAAAAGCAGUCCUGACUCCAGUCUAUUCUUACAGUAGAAUCAGGCCCGGAGGGAAAGGCUACAGCAUGCUGGUCGUCACCUGCAACCUGCCCUGGCUUGUCCACCUGCAUUGCAGGGCUCUCUUGUCUACAAUCACCAAGACACUGGGUAAAGGGUUUGAUCUGAGGCCAAAGCAAAUAGCAGCUGAAAGACUAACAACAGUUGGUGUCUCGCCCUGGCUCAGUUGGGCUCUGGCGCCUUCCUAGGUAACCCUCUUUCCCCACAAAAGUCUGUUUGGCCUGGCGAAAACAGCUGACUCUUCUGCAGUUGCUUCGGUGUUUACCAGUGGCUCCCACAUACAGCCCUCGCCCCUCACAGCGUUGCUGUUGGUGAAGCUGUAUUGUGACUGUUCUAUAGACACAGACACUCCUAGCGGCAUCCUAUAUAGCGAAGUGACACUGUCUUCUUUGUAACCAAACCUCCUUAACAAUAGAAUGAAACUUACACCUGCUGUAAAGUUGUAUGGAGAUUUAAAUAGGAUUUUCUUCUGUUUUAAUCAUGAAUAAUAGACCCUUUCUAAAUGUGAACCGGAUAAAAUAGAACUUUUCAACUUCUGAGUCUAUGAUAGAUUAAUAUGGAUGGCUCCAGGAAUUUCUUCCACAUUUCGACAUAUAUACUUCCUUGUGUUAUUAACUGGCAAUCCCUUCCAAUUAAGGGCAGGUCUUAUCUUCUGUCCUUGAGUCCUGCAUGGCUCUCAGACUUGCUUUGAUUAGUAAAAUAUGGCAGAAAUAGCAACAGGCCUUGAGGUCUACUCGCAACUUCUGGAGCCCUGUGACUCUCACACAAGGAAACCCAAGUUGAUGUACUCGGGUGUAAGUGACCCAGACAGCAAGGCUGAUAGUUAACCAUCAGCCCCUUCCAGUAUUCCUCAUGCCUCUAUCUGCUGAGUACAAGCAUACGUAAUUCCGUGUGAUGCCACCAGAAUUACCCAGAUGUAUGAGGCCCAAUUUACAGAAUCAAGAACAAACAUGGUUGUUAGCUUAGACCACUAAAGUAGGAAAAUGAGACAUGAUGAAGGUGAAGAGGUUGGAAUAUUUAGAUGGUAAAUUUGUAUAAAUACUGAAAGGGGGCAUGAAGUCAACUCAUGAUGUCAUCCCUUAAACUAUGGUGGGUUCAACAUCAUUUAGUGGUUAUUUUAACUAAAUACAGAAAGAAUUUGGAAUUUGAUGAAUUUGUGAAGACACAUUCCUAUCAUGUGUGUAAUUCUUUGAGUAAACAUAUGUGCUAUAACCUCAAAUUUAGUGAGAUCCAAAAUCAGGGGCUUAUUAAUUUCUCUAUCUUACCUAUAUGGACAAUAUCGUGCUUGAACAUAUGUGUCUGACCAGAGAGGUAUUGAGAACGUUUCCAACAUUGUGUCAGGGGAUCAUAAUAAAGCUUAG
rnacentral:lncRNA from 1 species